UACGGAGGAUGCGAGCGUUAUCCGGAUUUAUUGGGAUUAAAGGGUGCGCAGGCGGAGGCACAAGUCAGCGGUAAAAUCGCGGGGCUCAACCCCGCUCCGCCGUUGAAACUGUGUCCCUUGAGUGCGCGAAGGGUAGGCGGAAUGCGUGGUGUAGCGGUGAAAUGCAUAGAUAUCACGCAGAACUUCGAUUGCGAAGGCAGCAUACCGGCGCCCGACUGACGCUGAGGCACGAAAGCGUGGGGAUCGAACAGG
rnacentral:rRNA from 1 species